CCUACACCUACUCUUAUCACUUGUAAUCCAAAAAAGCUCCAUUUCUUUCUUAUACGCUAAUUCACUAUUAAAUAGAAAUGUAUAUGCAAAACAGCGAGAAAUUUGUAGAUACGUUGAAUGUUGUUGCUUUCACAUUUGCAACUCUUAGUAGUUGUUCAAAACAACAAUGUCGAGCAAAGAUGUUUGCGAUGUUUGAAUGAUUCUUGGAUUGUAUUUGGAUUCCAUCGGUACUAUGGCCUGUUGAUUCGGCACCUUUGUCAUUUUAGCAACUUUUGUUUUCUUUUCUGUGUCGAUGUAGUUCUCUAUACCAUAUUCAUGUUCAUAUUCAUGUUCAUAUUCAUGUUCAUAUCAAUGUCCAUAUCAAUGUCCAUAUCAAUUUCCCAUGUUCCAUUACAUAUCCCGUGUUCUUUCCUUCUUCCAGCUUUUACAUGCUAGCCUUUUAUACAAUGAUUCCUCUCAUCUCGACUCGCUUGAUGAAUGGGCGUUUAGUUUUUGCAACAACAUAUGCGUUGGGUUAUCUCAUAUCGGGAAACACUUUCUGCCACUUUUAACUUGAACAAAGUUGGAGAAAUAAAGUGAUGGCAGAUAUUGCAAGUUGUUUAUAGUGUGCCUGUAGAAAUGUAAAAACGCUAUGUUUCGUGAAUGCCCAGCCUGUAAAUCGAAAUAAGAUUUCGUAUUUAUUAAGCAUUGGAAGAUCACAAUUGGAAAAAACACGAUACGGUUGGUCUCNUUCACAGUCGUUCUCCAGUAAUCACAAACAUGAAACCUAAAUAUACGG
rnacentral:sRNA from 1 species